rnacentral:rRNA from 1 species
GGGAGGUAGUGACGAAAAAUAACGAUACGGGACUCAUCCGAGGCCCCGUAAUCGGAAUGAGUACACUUUAAAUCCUUUAACCAGGAUCCAUUGGAGGGCAAGUCUGGUGCCAGCAGCCGCGGUAAUUCCAGCUCCAAUAGCGUAUAUUAAAGUUGUUGCGGUUAAAAAGCUCGUAGUUGAAUCUGUGUGCCACGCUGUCGGUUCACCGCUCGCGGUGUUUAACUGGCAUGAUUGUGGGACGUCCUACCGGUGGAUUUAGCUGUAUGAAAGUAUGGCGGUCCAACUAAUAUCCCAUCGCGGUGCUCUUCACCGAGUGUCGAGGUGGGCCGGUACGUUUACUUUGAACAAAUUAGAGUGCUUAAAGCAGGCUUAUUUUGCCUGAAUAUUGUGUGCAUGGAAUAAUGGAAUAGGACCUCGGUUCUAUUUUGUUGGUUUUCGGAACCCCGAGGUAAUGAUUAAUAGGGACAGAUGGGGGCAUUCGUAUUGCGACGUUAGAGGUGAAAUUCUUGGAUCGUCGCAAGACGAACAGAAGCGAAAGCAUUUGCCAAAAAUGUUUUCAUUAAUCAAGAACGAAAGUUAGAGGUUCGAAGGCGAUCAGAUACCGCCCUAGUUCUAACCAUAAACGAUGCCAGCUAGCGAUCCGCCGAAGUUCCUCCGAUGACUCGGCGGGCAGCUUCCGGGAAACCAAAGCUUUUGGGUUCCGGGGGAAGUAUGGUUGCAAAGCUGAAACUUAAAGGAAUUGACGGAAGGGCACCACCAGGAGUGGAGCCUGCGCUAAUUUGACUCACACG